rnacentral:rRNA from 1 species
UUUCGCAAUGCCCGAAAGGGUGACGAAGCGACGCCGCGUGCGGGAAGAAGGCCUUCGGGUUGUAAACCGCUGUCGGGAGUUAAGAAAUGUAAGGAUGUUAAUAGCAUCUUUGCUUGACUAAGGCUCCGGAGGAAGCCACGGCUAACUCUGUGCCAGCAGCCGCGGUAAUACAGAGGCGGCAAGCGUUGUUCGGAAUUAUUGGGCGUAAAGAGCACGUAGGCGGCUAUGUAAGUCGGUUGUGAAGGCCUUCCGCUCAACGGGAGAACAGCAUCCGAUACUGCAUGGCUUGAGUGCGGGAGGGGAGAGUGGAACUUCUGGUGGAGCGGUGAAAUGCGUAGAUAUCAGAAGGAACGCCGGCGGCGAAAGCGGCUCUCUGGCCCAUAACUGACGCUGAGUGUGCGAAAGCUAGGGGAGCAAACGGGAUUAGAUACCCCGGUAGUCCUAGCCGUAAACGAUGGGCACUAAGUAGAGGGGUUUUA